AUUGAACGCUGGCGGCAGGCCUAACACAUGCAAGUCGAGCGGCAGCGGGAAGUAACUUGUUACUUUGCCGGCGAGCGGCGGACGGGUGAGUAAUGCCUAGGGAUCUGCCCAGUCGAGGGGGAUAACAGUUGGAAACGACUGCUAAUACCGCAUACGCCCGUACGGGGGAAAGGAGGGGACCAUUUGGCCUUCCGCGAUUGGAUGAACCUAGGUGGGAUUAGCUAGUUGGUGAGGUAAUGGCUCACCAAGGCGACGAUCCCUAGCUGUUCUGAGAGGAUGAUCAGCCACACUGGGACUGAGACACGGCCCAGACUCCUACGGGAGGCAGCAGGUGGGGAAUAUUGCACAAUGGGGGAAACCCUGAUGCAGCCAUGCCGCGUGUGUGAAGAAGGCCUUCGGGUUGUAAAGCACUUUCAGUAAGGAGGAAAGGUUAACGAUUAAUACUCGUUAGCUGUGACGUUACUUACAGAAGAAGGACCGGCUAACUCCGUG
rnacentral:rRNA from 1 species